UACAGAGGUCUCAAGCGUUGUUCGGAUUCAUUGGGCGUAAAGGGUGCGUAGGCGGCGCGGUAAGUCGGGUGUGAAAUUUCGAGGCUUAACUUCGAAACUGCAUUCGAUACUGCCGUGCUAGAGGACUGGAGAGGAGACUGGAAUUUACGGUGUAGCGGUGAAAUGCGUAGAUAUCGUAAGGAAGACCAGUGGCGAAGGCGGGUCUCUGGACAGUUCCUGACGCUGAGGCACGAAGGCCAGAGGAGCAAACGGG
rnacentral:rRNA from 1 species